GUAGAUAUGAUGAUGUCAUAGCUAAAAAUACUUACCAAUCGGAUUACCCUUGAUAGUGUUUGUUGGCUAUAAAAGAGGUUGUGUCUUAAUUUCAAGGCUUAGGCACGUAGGAAACAACUUUGACCAGGAGUACAUAGUACUCCUGCUUUGACAAUGCCUCAUUGUUAUAUUAAGAAAAUGAGUGGUGAUCGCUUUAUAGCUACCUCUUUGUAGAGUGUGCUAUUUAGUGAUCAAAAAACCCAAAUAACCCACUCAAACAAUCAAUUAAACAAAACGCACGCAUGGAAACAGUAAGAUAUCUUUAUAAGGCUUGUAUGUGUGUUAACUGCCUGUAGUCCUAGCUGUACUGCAAGACUGCAUGCAGGAUAGAAUGGUGAGGCAUCUUCUCACCUGUAAGCUUAAGACUACAAUAGUCUAUGUCUAGAAAUUAAAUAUUCUCAGUGAUAAAUUUCCCUAUAGCUAUAUAUACUUGACUGUGUAGCCAGCUGCUCUAGCUGUAGCUACACUUGGUUGUAGUGACAAUGGAUGCUUGUGUGAGUCUAUGAAUUCUGUUCACACUAGGGCGUAGUGUUUAUGAAUGUACUUCACAGCUCACCCCCACUUACCCCCCUCACACUCGAUAAGUUGAAUCAUUGAUCGCUGGUAUAUGCAAGCUGGUUUGUUUGGCCCUGAUUUAGACCAAUCUGAAUCAAUAAUGAUGAUGUAUUGCUCAUAGCCUCCAGUCUGUAUAUAAGGGACCAUCACACAAGCCAGUGUAGUAAUUAGUCUACUAUUGUACAGCAGUUCCACUGUACUGUCAAGAGUUUUCAAAGCCCCUUUGCUGAAUCUUGUGUGAAGUUUCAACUCUGUUACAUCAUGUUGAAAUAACUGGAACAAUAGAGGGACCUUUUUUUAGAGUGUUCCCUCGCCCAAUAAACCAAACAAAAAAUCCACCUCUCAUGUCUGACUUUAUUAGUUGUUAUAAUUGUGGGCGGUUUGCUGUAUUCAUUAGUUGUGCUGACAAUGUGGUAUAUGGUUUGCUGUGUUCAUUAGUUGUGCUGACAGUGUGGUAUGGUUGGCUGUAUUCAUUAGUUAAAAGCCUGUGUACAUGUUAGAGAUUACCAUUGUCCCAGUGGUACUCUCCCUGGGAGAGCCCCAAGGUUGUUUACUCACGCUCUAUAAGUUGUGUCAUUGCUGGCUGACUGAUAUGUGCAAACUGGUUUGUGAUUUGGACCAAUCAUAAUCAAUAAUGAUGAUGUAUUGCUCAUAGUCUCCAGUCUGUAUAUAAGGCACCAUCACACAAGCCAGAGUAUAUUAAAAGUACUGAGUACGGCAGUUCCACUGUACUGUCAAGAGUUUUCAAAAGCUUUUUUGCUGAAUCUUGUGUGAAGUUUCAACUCUGUUACAUCAUGUUGAAAUAACUGGAACAAUAGAGGGACCUCUUUUUAGAGUGUUCCCUCGCCCAAUAAACCAAACAAAAAAUCCACCUCUCAUGUCUGACUUUAUUAGUUGUUAUAAUUGUGGCUGGUUUGCUGUAUUCAUUAGUUGUGCUGACAGUGUGGUAUGUGUUUUAUUGAGUGUUUCAGAGCCGGGUAUUCCUGAGGUUAUGUAAGGGGGAGAGGAGUAGCCAAUCAGAUGUUACUUCUGUAGAUUGCAUCAUAGACUUUGAGCAAGCCUAUAAAAGCCACUGACUGGGAAGCUGUAGCUACCUUAUUCAGCUCUUGAAUUUGUGUCACUUUUGAGAUUUAAUCUCCAACAUCAUGUCUGAGCCCAUCAGACAAACAUUUAUGUUUUGGUGGUUGGUUUAAAUGGGCACCCAACUCAGAGGGGCUCCUCUUAGUAGAGUGAGACCCUCCCACAAACAAAACAAAACAAUUAUUAUGCGCAUGUGUAGAGUUACUAGACGUACCUCCAUUGCUUAAGUAAUUAGUAAAACCAGUAGGUUUUACAUAGGAUUGGCAGUGGGUUUGCCUGUGUUUAGCAAUAUUUCAAUUAUUUUGACUCAUGUUCAAACUGUUCUAUCUCUGCAGGGAAAGGCCACAUCAAGAAACUGGCUGAACAGAUAGUUUAUUUAGCCUUUUCUCUCUUUGUAUCUCUCAUUUCAUAAUCCAUAAACAUUUUAAUGAAUAAAUAUUUUCAUUUUAAAAAUUGCACUAUUUCGACGUUUCACCGCUCUUUGUCUGACUGACUAAGUAAGUAAGUAAGUAAGUAAGUAAGUAAGUAAGUUUCUUGCCCAGCAUUUACUCCAAGUACAGCCAUCUCCAGGACAUUCUGCACAGGGUUUCCAAACGACUACAACCUGGAUUACAAAGCGCUUCUUCAGAUUUGCGAUUGCUUCCACGAGGCAGAUGACCUCUCAGUCUCUAUUUCUCUUACCUAGACAAUUCCGCCAUCUUUAAUGACUCAGCAAUUGCGUUGUGGCCAAUAAUAAUAGAUAGGCGUGGCUAAUAAACCGUCCGCCUAAAAUCAGUGCAGCAGUGCUUUUCCAGAGCCUGAGGUGUUCCUUUUCUUCACACUGUUCAGCUCUAGCUCCCUUUCUCUGACAGGCAUGCUAUAUGCACUGGCUAGAUAUCAUGCUCUUAAAAUGGCUGUCAUUUAAUACUGAUUCGCAAAUUCAACAUAAUUAUCAAGUAAUAAAUUAUUACUCAUUAUACUAUAAUUAUUAGUCCAGAGAUAUUCGAGAAGAUAUCUGAUUAGUCCUGUCUUCUCUUCUUGUACUGCCUCUUGACGUUCCACUUAUGCAUGUCAUGAUACGUAAACUGUACUGAAAAAGAAAGGGAAUCCGACUAGAAAAACAUUUGCAAUGUGAAAAAUUGCUAGGAUUGGCCAGGGGAACCACAAAAAAGCGUGGGAACAAGAAAUCAGACGAGAGCAUAACUCCAAUCCGUUACAACGUCAUGAACAUGUACAAUACAUAGUAUAUUAAAUAAUAGACUGUGUUCCAGAUCCACCUAUCAGCUUCCAUCCACCACAUCAUUCCAUGCAGUCACCAGUACGGUCCGUGCAUGUUACUACGCAUGGAUGGACUGUGUGUACCUGUGCUCAACACUGCAUGUAUUAGGAACAUCAAUUCAUCACAAAUCAUCAUGAUUAUGUGCCCCACAUUCUAAAAUGGAUGUAUAAUAAAUAUAUAUAGGGAUUGGUCAUCACUCCACCAGUAAAAAUUGCGUGGCAUAUUGGCUGGGAAAACAUGGGAAAACUACCAGUAUACAUGUGAUUGACGUUGUAACGGAUUGGAGUUAUGCUCUCGUCUGAUUUCUUGUUCCCACGCUUUUUUGUGGUUCCCCUGGCCAAUCCUAGCAAUUUUUCACAUUGCAAAUGUUUUUCUAGUCGGAUAACUAUAGUCCUGUCAGUUAUGGACUGACUAUCAUUAUACGCAUUAAUUGGUUGAUAAUAAUAUUAUUAUUAGCCAUGUGGCUAUGUAUUCUCCCUAUAUAAAUAAUAUUAUUAGAGCUAAUAAUUAUGUGCCUAUAAUUAUGUUCUCCCCCUCUAGUGAUAAUAAAUAAUGUGGACUAGCUGCUCUGUAGUUACAUGUAUGUCACUCCAGAGCAUUUACAGAUUGUACGUAUCAUCAUGUCAUGUAGAAUGUAUGCUCCAUCGCUUGCUCACUCUCCGCCGUAAUUUUGUCGUAUUCUCGAGGAACCUAAACUGUAUGGUGUUUGGUGGCGGCGACAAGUUUACCUUUCCAGUCUUUUCAGGUGGACACUCCCCUCCAAGCAUCAUCCGGAGCUGAGCAUUGAUCGUUGCUUUGUCGGUGCCAAUAUCUGCCAGCCUUGUCACUAUUUUUGCAGCAAGAUCCAGCUUCUUUUGCUCGUUUUGAGCGUUCACCCGCUUGCUUUUCUCUUGUACAAGCCACACAUCGAGUUCUGAUUUAGCAGCGUUUAUCUCGCGCUCCAGCUUCAAUUCUCUUGCCCGUUCAUCCAUUUGUUCUUUUUUGUCCUGAUAUUCCAGCUGCUUUUGUUUCGUCUUUUCUUCCUCCAGUCUCAGUUUAGCUUUGGCUCCAAUGUUUUGUAUCUCAGCCAGCUGCAGUUGUUGCUGAAUCUCGAGCUGCUUAAUUCUUUCUUCAGCCUCUUUUACCAAACGCUUUGUUUC